GACGAACGCUGGCGGCAGGCUUAACACAUGCAAGUCGAACGCAUCCUUCGGGGUGAGUGGCAGACGGGUGAGUAACGCGUGGGAACGUGCCCUUCAGUUCGGGAUAACCCAGGGAAACUUGGGCUAAUACCGGAUACGUGCGAGAGCAGAAAGAUUUAUCGCUGAAGGAUCGGCCCGCGUCUGAUUAGCUAGUUGGUGGGGUAAUAGCCCACCAAGGCGACGAGCAGUAGCUGGUCUGAGAGGAUGAUCAGCCUCAUUGGGACUGAGACACGGCCCAAACUCCUACGGGAGGCAGCAGUGGGGAAUAUUGGACAAUGGGCGCAAGCCUGAUCCAGCCAUGCCGCGUGAGUGAUGAAGGCCUUAGGGUUGUAAAGCUCUUUCGUCCGGGACGAUAAUGACGGUACCGGAAGAAGAAGCCCCGGCUAACUUCGUGCCAGCCGCCGCGGUAA
rnacentral:rRNA from 1 species